UACGGGGGGGGCAAGCGUUGUUCGGAAUUACUGGGCGUAAAGGGCUCGUAGGCGGCCAACUAAGUCAGACGUGAAAUCCCUCGGCUUAACCGGGGAACUGCGUCUGAUACUGGAUGGCUUGAGAUUGGGAGAGGGAUGCGGAAUUCCAGGUGUAGCGGUGAAAUGCGUAGAUAUCUGGAGGAACACCGGUGGCGAGGGCGGCAUCCUGGACCAACACUGACGCUGAGGGAGCGAAAGCCAGGGGAGCAAACGGG
rnacentral:rRNA from 1 species